AUUGAACGCUAGCGGGAUGCCUUACACAUGCAAGUCGAACGGAGUGGCGAACGGGUGAGUAAUGUAUCGGAACGUGCCCAGCAGCGGGGGAUAACUACGCGAACGCGUAGCUAAUACCGCAUACUAUUGGAGCGGCCGAUAUCGGAUUAGCUGGUUGGUUGGGUAACGGCUCACCAGGGCGACGAUCCGUACCUGGUUUCAGCGGACGACCAACCACACGGGGACGGGGACACGGCCCAGAGUCUGACGGGAGGCAGCAGUGGGGAAUUUUGGAAAAUGGGGGAAACCCUGAUCCAGCCAUCCAGCGUGUGGGAUGAAGGCCUUCGGGUUGUAAAGCACUUUUGGCAGGAAAGCGGUACCUGCAGAAUAAGCGCCGGCUAACUACGUGCCAGCAGCCGCGGUAAUUC
rnacentral:rRNA from 1 species